CGCCAGACUCCUACGGGAGGCAGCAGUGGGGAAUAUUGCACAAUGGGGGAAACCCUGAUGCAGCGACGCCGCGUGAGUGAAGAAGUAUUUCGGUAUGUAAAGCUCUAUCAGCAGGGAAGAAAAUGACGGUACCUGACUAAGAAGCCCCGGCUAACUACGUGCCAGCAGCCGCGGUAAUACGUAGGGGGCAAGCGUUAUCCGGAUUUACUGGGUGUAAAGGGAGCGUAGACGGCAUGGCAAGUCAGAUGUGAAAGCCCGGGGCUCAACCCCGGGACUGCAUUUGAAACUGUCAGGCUGGAGUGCAGGAGAGGUAAGUGGAAUUCCUAGUGUAGCGGUGAAAUGCGUAGAUAUUAGGAGGAACACCAGUGGCGAAGGCGGCUUACUGGACUGUAACUGACGUUGAGGCUCGAAAGCGUGGGGAGCAAACAGGAUUAGAUACCCCUGUAUU
rnacentral:rRNA from 1 species